rnacentral:rRNA from 1 species
GGUUAAGCGACUAAGCGUACACGGUGGAUGCCCUGGCAGUCAGAGGCGAUGAAGGGCGUGCUAAUCUGCGAUAAGCGCCGGUAAGGUGAUAUGAACCGUUAUAACCGGCGAUACCCGAAUGGGGAAACCCAGUGUGAUUCGUCACACUAUCAUUAACUGAAUCCAUAGGUUAAUGAGGCGAACCGGGGGAACUGAAACAUCUAAGUACCCCGAGGAAAAGAAAUCAACCGAGAUUCCCCCAGUAGCGGCGAGCGAACGGGGAGGAGCCCAGAGCCUGAAUCAGCAUGUGUGUUAGUGGAAGCGUCUGGAAAGGCGCGCGAUACAGGGUGACAGCCCCGUACACAAAAGCGCAUGUGCUGUGAGCUCGAUGAGUAGGGCGGGACACGUGGUAUCCUGUCUGAAUAUGGGGGGACCAUCCUCCAAGGCUAAAUACUCCUGACUGACCGAUAGUGAACCAGUACCGUGAGGGAAAGGCGAAAAGAACCCCGGCGAGGGGAGUGAAAAAGAACCUGAAACCGUGUACGUACAAGCAGUGGGAGCACAGGUUUACCUGUGUGACUGCGUACCUUUUGUAUAAUGGGUCAGCGACUUAUAUUCUGUAGCAAGGUUAACCGUAUAGGGGAGCCGGAGGGAAACCGAGUCUUAAUUGGGCGUUAAGUUGCAGGGUAUAGACCCGAAACCCGGUGAUCUAGCCAUGGGCAGGUUGAAGGUUGGGUAACACUAACUGGAGGACCGAACCGACUAAUGUUGAAAAAUUAGCGGAUGACCUGUGGCUGGGGGUGAAAGGCCAAUCAAACCGGGAGAUAGCUGGUUCUCCCCGAAAGCUAUUUAGGUAGCGCCUCGUGAAUUCAUCUCCGGGGGUAGAGCACUGUUUCGGCUAGGGGGCCAUCCCGGCUUACCAACCCGAUGCAAACUGCGAAUACCGGAGAAUGUUAUCACGGGAGACACACGGCGGGUGCUAACGUCCGUCGUGAAGAGGGAAACAACCCAGACCGCCAGCUAAGGUCCCAAAGUCAUGGUUAAGUGGGAAACGAUGUGGGAAGGCCCAGACAGCCAGGAUGUUGGCUUAGAAGCAGCCAUCAUUUAAAGAAAGCGUAAUAGCUCACUGGUCGAGUCGGCCUGCGCGGAAGAUGUAACGGGGCUAAACCAUGCACCGAAGCUGCGGCAGCGAACGUAUCACUUAAAGCGAUUCAGCGGGUUACGAUUGACGGAGCGAAGCGACGUCAAAGCGUAUACAAAGUCGAGUCGGUUUAAGGAUACGUUCGUUGGGUAGGGGAGCGUUCUGUAAGCCUGUGAAGGUGGCCUGUGAGGGUUGCUGGAGGUAUCAGAAGUGCGAAUGCUGACAUAAGUAACGAUAAAGCGGGUGAAAAGCCCGCUCGCCGGAAGACCAAGGGUUCCUGUCCAACGUUAAUCGGGGCAGGGUGAGUCGACCCCUAAGGCGAGGCCGAAAGGCGUAGUCGAUGGGAAACGGGUUAAUAUUCCCGUACUUGGUGUUACUGCGAAGGGGGGACGGAGAAGGCUAUGUUGGCCGGGCGACGGUUGUCCCGGUUUAAGCGUGUAGGUGUGUGUUCCAGGUAAAUCCGGUUCACUUUAACACUGAGGCGUGAUGACGAGGCACUACGGUGCUGAAGCAACAAAUGCCCUGCUUCCAGGAAAAGCCUCUAAGCAUCAGGUAACAUCAAAUCGUACCCCAAACCGACACAGGUGGUCAGGUAGAGAAUACCAAGGCGCUUGAGAGAACUCGGGUGAAGGAACUAGGCAAAAUGGUGCCGUAACUUCGGGAGAAGGCACGCUGACACGUAGGUGAAGUGAUUUACUCACGGAGCUGAAGUCAGUCGAAGAUACCAGCUGGCUGCAACUGUUUAUUAAAAACACAGCACUGUGCAAACACGAAAGUGGACGUAUACGGUGUGACGCCUGCCCGGUGCCGGAAGGUUAAUUGAUGGGGUCAGCGCAAGCGAAGCUCCUGAUCGAAGCCCCGGUAAACGGCGGCCGUAACUAUAACGGUCCUAAGGUAGCGAAAUUCCUUGUCGGGUAAGUUCCGACCUGCACGAAUGGCGUAAUGAUGGCCAGGCUGUCUCCACCCGAGACUCAGUGAAAUUGAACUCGCUGUGAAGAUGCAGUGUACCCGCGGCAAGACGGAAAGACCCCGUGAACCUUUACUAUAGCUUGACACUGAACAUUGAGCCUUGAUGUGUAGGAUAGGUGGGAGGCUUUGAAGUGUGGACGCCAGUCUGCAUGGAGCCGACCUUGAAAUACCACCCUUUAAUGUUUGAUGUUCUAACGUGGACCCGUAAUCCGGGUUGCGGACAGUGUCUGGUGGGUAGUUUGACUGGGGCGGUCUCCUCCUAAAGAGUAACGGAGGAGCACGAAGGUUGGCUAAUCCUGGUCGGACAUCAGGAGGUUAGUGCAAUGGCAUAAGCCAGCUUGACUGCGAGCGUGACGGCGCGAGCAGGUGCGAAAGCAGGUCAUAGUGAUCCGGUGGUUCUGAAUGGAAGGGCCAUCGCUCAACGGAUAAAAGGUACUCCGGGGAUAACAGGCUGAUACCGCCCAAGAGUUCAUAUCGACGGCGGUGUUUGGCACCUCGAUGUCGGCUCAUCACAUCCUGGGGCUGAAGUAGGUCCCAAGGGUAUGGCUGUUCGCCAUUUAAAGUGGUACGCGAGCUGGGUUUAGAACGUCGUGAGACAGUUCGGUCCCUAUCUGCCGUGGGCGCUGGAGAACUGAGGGGGGCUGCUCCUAGUACGAGAGGACCGGAGUGGACGCAUCACUGGUGUUCGGGUUGUCAUGCCAAUGGCACUGCCCGGUAGCUAAAUGCGGAAGAGAUAAGUGCUGAAAGCAUCUAAGCACGAAACUUGCCCCGAGAUGAGUUCUCCCUGAGACUUAAAGUCUCCUGAAGGAACGUUGAAGACGACGACGUUGAUAGGCCGGGUGUGUAAGCGCAGCGAUGCGUUGAGCUAACCGGUACUAAUGAACCGUGAGGCUUAACCUU